GACGAACGCUGGCGGCGUGCCUAAUACAUGCAAGUUGAGCGCUGAAGGUUGGUACUUGUACCGACUGGAUGAGCAGCGAACGGGUGAGUAACGCGUGGGGAAUCUGCCUUUGAGCGGGGGACAACAUUUGGAAACGAAUGCUAAUACCGCAUAAAAACUUUAAACACAAGUUUUAAGUUUGAAAGAUGCAAUUGCAUCACUCAAAGAUGAUCCCGCGUUGUAUUAGCUAGUUGGUGAGGUAAAGGCUCACCAAGGCGAUGAUACAUAGCCGACCUGAGAGGGUGAUCGGCCACAUUGGGACUGAGACACGGCCCAAACUCCUACGGGAGGCAGCAGUAGGGAAUCUUCGGCAAUAGACGAAAGUCUGACCGAGCAACGCCGCGUGAGUGAAGAAGGUUUUCGGAUCGUAAAACUCGGUUGGUAGAGAAGAACGUUGGUGAGAGUGGAAAGCUCAUCAAGUGACGGUAACUACCCAGAAAGGGACGGCUAACUACGUG
rnacentral:rRNA from 1 species